ensembl:lncRNA
AUCCACCACCGUGGAAUCUCUCUACAUCAAACCCUUACUAGAGUCCCCAAAGCACAGCUGGUCUUAAUUGUUUCUGGAGGACUCCAUCUAGUUAACUGGGAGGAGGCCGGCAAGGAUCGCAGGAAACCACAUUGGUUAUUUUAUCAGGGUUGAGCUGAGGGGCUACACAUAGGUAGUGACUUAGAAAUAAUGUGAUGAGCUGAGUGCUUUAUUUCCUAUUCUGCUACAAAUUAACCUCAAAAUUGCUACAGCUUUAAAAAACAGAUACUUUUGAACCCAUGCAGUGAAGAAAGUAUCUCUAAGAACUGGAGCUCCAGCCCACCGUCCAGAAGAAACUGUGAAUAGCAACAACGCUGGCCCCGGACUAGAAUUCAGCGACAUGAACCCAAGAGACAUAAGCCGUUCGGGAAGACGGCACACAACACUGACGAGCAAAAGAAUGAGACGUAAAACCACGAACCUCCACUGAAGUUUCUUCAGGGGCAACCAUUUCUGCCUCUUGGUGGGAAGACGAUGCAAAUUUGUCGAUUCGGCUCGGCUGGCUUUCAGCUCGUCCCACAGCCGCAAGCGGGAGGAAGAUGCCUCUCAGAUAUCCUUUUGUUACUCUAAUCAGAGCCAGAAGGGCUGUAUUGACUUUCGGGCCUUGGGGAGUUGUAGUUCUUUUGUAUCCAUCUCAUCCAAGAAAUCAAGUUUGAUUAAUUUGUCAUCAAGGAAAAUGUGUGAUCAGCUCAGAGCCAGGCCUUUGAAGAGGAAGGAUGAACUUGGGCUUGCAAAAGUCCAGGUCAGCGGGCAAAACAGCAGUGGUGCCGAAUCGAACAAGUUCUUCUCAGAGCUGCCUGUUCUCAUUUAAAAGACUUUAAAACAAAACAAAACACAAACCCUUUUCCACAUAAACAUUCAGGGUUGGAUUGCUCCCUGGCCAGGGUCUCUUUUUGUUUACUUUAAUUUUGAAAAUAGAGUUAUCAGGGCUACAAAGCAAGACCCGGAGAACACUGAGCCGUGCCACAAAGCGCAGGGGUGGAAGGAUUUGACCUCCUGCCAAUCUUAAAAGACCACGAAGAGUGGGAGAGCCGAGAGGGCUGAACUCGGUGUCAGCACGUGCUUCUGGAAUGAAUAAUCGGAGGGGUCUCCAGCUGGGUCAUGGG